CAAAAACUUUCUGCCAAAAAAGAAAAAAAAGAAAAUAAACAAUGAAAAAAUGAAAAAGUGCUAAUAGAAAUACAGUCCCAGUGUGUACACACGCAAAAAAACUCAAAAAGCAAAACAAUUUUUAUCCAUGAUUAGGUCCUAAUGGACAGAUCUCACCCUGUGUAGUUUGGAAAGUCCUCUGAUUGAUGUAGUUUUUAUGGUGGUUUAGUCAAGCAGAUGUCAAAGUGUUU